rnacentral:rRNA from 1 species
UGAGGGAAUAUUUGGGGUCAAUGGACGCAAGUCUGAACCAGCCAAGUCGCGUGCAGGAAUAAGGCCCUAUGGGUCGCAGACUGCUUUUGCAUGAGAAUAAAAAGUGGGACGAGUCCCACCCUGUAGGUAUCAUGCGAAUAAGGAUCGGCUAACUCCGUGCCAGCAGCCGCGGUAAUACGGAGGAUCCGAGCGUUAUCCGGAUUUAUUGGGUUUAAAGGGUGCGCAGGCGGGUCUGUAAGCCCGUGGUGAAAGCCUGGUGCUCAACGCCAGAGGUGCCGCGGGAACUGCAGGUCUUGAGUCGUGACGAGGGCGGCGGAAUUCCUAGUGUAGCGGUGAAAUGCGUAGAUAUUAGGAGGAACACCAGUGGCGAAGGCGGUCUACUGGACGAUAACUGACGCUGAGGCGCGAAAGCGUGGGGGAGCAAACA